UUUGGAGUUGUGUUGAUUGGAUUGAAUGACACCAGAGUAGUAAGCAGAUUUUGCUAAGGGGAGACUGUCCUUGUAUAGCAUUACAUGAUUAUUGUACAUUUCUUUGUGUAUAGUGAAUCCAGUUUUGUUAUAG